rnacentral:rRNA from 1 species
AUGCUGCUGGUCAGCCAGGCUGCCAACGGCUCCCUCUCCGCGCGGCGGCUGCCCUCCAAGCCGCUCGCCAGCCGCCGCGGCGCCAACCCCUACCCUCUCUUCGCCGGCCCGCGCGUCGCGCGCCGCCGCCUCGUGCUCUCCGGCGCCGCCGACGCGCGGGACGCGCCCCGCCGCGCCUCCGCCUCGCCUCCCGCCCACGCGGCCGCGGGCGAGGGCCCCUCCGGCUCCCCCGCCGCCGCCGAGGACCCCGUCCUCCUCGGCGUCAGCGACGACCGCGUGCCCCUCGAGGGCGUCAUCCAGGUCGAGAAGCCCGGCCAGGCCGACGCCCAGUCCAAGCUCGUCUCCUACGCGAAGAUAGGGCUUCUGGCCGGAGGGGAUCUGCUUUGCCUGCUGGUCUUCUCCGCGAUUGGGAGGCUCAGCCAUGGCCUGCCCGUGCUUGACGUCGAGACGUUCAAGACGGCCGACCCGUUCAUUGCUGGUUGGUUGCUUAGCGCCUACCUCCUUGGCGGAUUUGGUGAUGAUGCCAAAGGAAGCAAUGGUGUUGGGAAUGCUGUAACUGUUGCGGCCAAAUCCUGGGCUGUUGGGAUACCGUUGGGAAUUGCCAUUCGUUCAGUGACCGCUGGUCAUAUUCCACAAAUUCCUUUCGUCUUGGUGGCCAUGGGAAGUACUGGGGUCUUGUUGACUGCAUGGCGUGCUCUGAUUUCCCAAGUUCUUUCUGCUGGACAGAGCAAGAAGGAUGAUGUAUACAGAAAGGGAAAUCCUUUUGAGCUUUUCGAGGUUAGAAGUUUUUUUAUAUUUUAA